rnacentral:rRNA from 1 species
GUCGAGCGGAACGAGUUGUCUGAACCUUCGGGGGACGAUAACGGCGUCGAGCGGCGGACGGGUGAGUAAUGCCUGGGAAAUUGCCCUGAUGUGGGGGAUAACCAUUGGAAACGAUGGCUAAUACCGCAUAAUAGCUUCGGCUCAAAGAGGGGGACCUUCGGGCCUCUCGCGUCAGGAUAUGCCCAGGUGGGAUUAGCUAGUUGGUGAGGUAAGGGCUCACCAAGGCGACGAUCCCUAGCUGGUCUGAGAGGAUGAUCAGCCACACUGGAACUGAGACACGGUCCAGACUCCUACGGGAGGCAGCAGUGGGGAAUAUUGCACAAUGGGCGCAAGCCUGAUGCAGCCAUGCCGCGUGUAUGAAGAAGGCCUUCGGGUUGUAAAGUACUUUCAGCAGUGAGGAAGAUGGUGUACUUAAUACGUGCAUCAUUUGACGUUAGCUGCAGAAGAAGCACCGGCUAACUCCGUGCCAGCAGCCGCGGUAAUACGGAGGGUGCGAGCGUUAAUCGGAAUUACUGGGCGUAAAGCGCAUGCAGGUGGUUUGUUAAGUCAGAUGUGAAAGCCCGGGGCUCAACCUCGGAAUUGCAUUUGAAACUGGCAGACUAGAGUACUGUAGAGGGGGGUAGAAUUUCAGGUGUAGCGGUGAAAUGCGUAGAGAUCUGAAGGAAUACCGGUGGCGAAGGCGGCCCCCUGGACAGAUACUGACACUCAGAUGCGAAAGCGUGGGGAGCAAACAGGAUUAGAUACCCUGGUAGUCCACGCCGUAAACGAUGUCUACUUGGAGGUUGUGGCCUUGAGCCGUGGCUUUCGGAGCUAACGCGUUAAGUAGACCGCCUGGGGAGUACGGUCGCAAGAUUAAAACUCAAAUGAAUUGACGGGGGCCCGCACAAGCGGUGGAGCAUGUGGUUUAAUUCGAUGCAACGCGAAGAACCUUACCUACUCUUGACAUCCAUAGAACUUUCCAGAGAUGGAUUGGUGCCUUCGGGAACUAUGAGACAGGUGCUGCAUGGCUGUCGUCAGCUCGUGUUGUGAAAUGUUGGGUUAAGUCCCGCAACGAGCGCAACCCUUAUCCUUGUUUGCCAGCACUUCGGGUGGGAACUCCAGGG